rnacentral:rRNA from 1 species
CCUACGGUGCGCAGCAGUGAGGAAUAUUGGUCAAUGGACGAGAGUCUGAACCAGCCAAGUAGCGUGAAGGAUGACUGCCCUAUGGGUUGUAAACUUCUUUUAUAAAGGAAUAAAACGAGGCACGUGUGCCUUUUGCAUGUACUUUAGGAAUAAGGAUCGGCUAACUCCGUGCCAGCAGCCGCGGUAAUACGGAGGAUCCGAGCUUUAUCCGGAUUUAUGGGGUUUAAAGGGAGCGUAGAGGGGUUGUUAAGUCAGUUGUGAAAGUUUGCGGCUCAACCCGGGCCUUGCAGCGCGAACUGGCGUGCUUGAGUCCGCGGAAAGCAGGCGGAAUUCGUCGUGUAGCGGUGAAAUGCUUAGAUAUGACGAAGAACCCCGAUUGCGAAGGCAGCUUGCUGCAGCGGAACUGACGCUGAUGCUCGAAAGCGCGGGUAUCGAACAGGAUUAGAUACCCUUGUAGUC